GAACGCUGGCGGCGUGCCUAAUACAUGCAAGUCGAGCGAACGGACGAGAAGCUUGCUUCUCUGAUGUUAGCGGCGGACGGGUGAGUAACACGUGGAUAACCUACCUAUAAGACUGGGAUAACUUCGGGAAACCGUAGCUAAUACCGGAUAAUAUUUUGAACCGCAUGGUUCAAAAGUGAAAGACGGUCUUGCUGUCACUUAUAGAUGGAUCCGCGCUGCAUUAGCUAGUUGGUAAGGUAACGGCUUACCAAGGCAACGAUGCAUAGCCGACCUGAGAGGGUGAUCGGCCACACUGGAACUGAGACACGGUCCAGACUCCUACGGGAGGCAGCAGUAGGGAAUCUUCCGCAAUGGGCGAAAGCCUGACGGAGCAACGCCGCGUGAGUGAUGAAGGUCUUCGGAUCGUAAAACUCUGUUAUUAGGGAAGAACAGAUGUGUAAGUAACUGUGCACAUCUUGACGGUACCUAAUCAGAAAGCCACGGCUAACUACGUG
rnacentral:rRNA from 1 species